ACCCGUCUGUCUCAGUCGGUAGAGGGUGCGACUCCUAAUCUCAGGGUCGUGAGUUCAAGCCCCAUGUUGGGGG
rnacentral:tRNA from 1 species